GACGAACGCUGGCGGCGUGCUUAACACAUGCAAGUCGAACGGAAAGGCCCUGCUUUUGUGGGGUGCUCGAGUGGCGAACGGGUGAGUAACACGUGAGUAACCUGCCCUUGACUUUGGGAUAACUUCAGGAAACUGGGGCUAAUACCGGAUAGGAGCUCCUGCUGCAUGGUGGGGGUUGGAAAGUUUCGGCGGUUGGGGCUGGACUCGCGGCUUAUCAGCUUGUUGGUGGGGUAGUGGCUUACCAAGGCUUUGACGGGUAGCCGGCCUGAGAGGGUGACCGGCCACCUUGGGACUGAGAGACGGCCCAGACUCCUACGGGAGGCAGCAGUGGGGAAUAUUGCACAAUGGGCGGAAGCCUGAUGCAGCAACGCCGCGUGCGGGAUGACGGCCUUCGGGUUGUAAACCGCUUUCGCCUGUGACGAAGCGUGAGUGACGGUAAUGGGUAAAGAAGCACCGGCUAACUACGUG
rnacentral:rRNA from 1 species